rnacentral:ncRNA from 1 species
GCCCUGAAUGGUAAAGAGGGCACACUCUCGCCAAAGGGGCGAGGGCCAGAGCAUGGUCGGGCUCCGGCAAAUUAUUAACAUGGAUGCAGAGACCACAUCCGGC